rnacentral:ncRNA from 2 species
CAGGUCGAGGGGCGCUGCAACGGACGGGUUCCGCAACGGGCCAAGGUCCGCCACGCUCGGCUGGAACCUCUCCGUAAGGGCGCCUCCCCCAA